CCCAUUCUUUCGCCGGUCGCAAUGGAAGAAGAGAUCGCCGCGCUCGUCAUUGACAAUGGCUCCGGCAUGUGCAAAGCUGGCUUUGCUGGGGACGACGCUCCCCGAGCCGUGUUUCCUUCCAUCGUCGGGCGCCCCAGACACCAGGGCGUGAUGGUGGGCAUGGGCCAGAAGGACUCCUACGUGGGCGACGAGGCCCAGAGCAAGCGUGGCAUCCUGACCCUGAAGUACCCCAUCGAGCAUGGCAUCGUCACCAACUGGGACGACAUGGAGAAGAUCUGGCACCACACUUUCUACAACGAGCUGCGCGUGGCUCCGGAGGAGCAUCCAGUGCUGCUGACCGAGGCCCCCCUGAACCCCAAGGCCAACAGAGAGAAGAUGACUCAGGCUCUGUUCCUCUCCCGGCAUUUCCUCCCUGAAGCCUCCAGGUUUCUCAUUUGGUUUCUGCCUGCGUUCUUUUCUUUUCUCCACACAUCACACUGGCAUGCGGCAUGUUGUGGCGUGUGAGCAUGGGGUGGCCGUGGGUCUCUGUCCCCGAUUAAGCCGCCCCUUGUUCCUCCUCAGAUUAUGUUUGAGACCUUCAACACCCCGGCCAUGUACGUGGCCAUCCAGGCCGUGCUGUCCUUGUACGCUUCUGGGCGCACCACUGGCAUUGUCAUGGACUCUGGAGACGGGGUCACCCACACGGUGCCCAUCUACGAGGGCUACGCCCUCCCCCACGCUAUCCUGCGUCUGGACCUGGCUGGCCGGGACCUGACCGACUACCUCAUGAAGAUCCUCACCGAGCGAGGCUACAGCUUCACCACCACGGCCGAGCGGGAAAUCGUGCGCGACAUCAAGGAGAAGCUGUGCUACGUCGCCCUGGAUUUCGAGCAGGAGAUGGCCACCGCCGCAUCCUCCUCUUCGCUGGAGAAGAGCUACGAGCUGCCUGAUGGCCAGGUCAUCACCAUUGGCAAUGAGCGGUUCCGGUGUCCGGAGGCGCUGUUCCAGCCUUCUUUCUUGGGUAGGUGUUGUGAGCUAAAAGUUUCUGCUCUGUCAUCCUGGGCGACACAGCAUCACUAAGGGAGGGCUUUGUCACCUAGGCAUGGAAUCUUGCGGCAUCCACG
rnacentral:sRNA from 1 species